UACGGAGGGGGCUAGCGUUGUUCGGAAUUACUGGGCGUAAAGCGCACGUAGGCGGCUUUGUAAGUUAGAGGUGAAAGCCCAGGGCUUAACCCUGGAAUUGCCUUUAAGACUGCAUCGCUAGAAUUGUGGAGAGGUAAGUGGAAUUCUCGGUGUAGAGGUGAAAUUCGUAGAUAUCGAGAGGAACACCGGUGGCGAAGGCGGCCAACUGGACGAAUACUGACGCUGAAGACUCGAAAAGCGUGGGGGAGCAAACAGG
rnacentral:rRNA from 1 species